UACGGGGGGGGUAAGCGUUGUUCGGAAUUACUGGGCGUAAAGCGCACGUAGGUGGUUUUAUAAGUCGGAUGUGAAAGCCCCGGGCUUAACCUGGGAAUUGCAUCCGAGACUGUCUGACUAGAGUAUGCUAGAGGGAAGUGGAAUUCCAGGUGUAGCGGUGAAAUGCGUAGAUAUCUGGAGGAACACCAAUGGCGAAGGCAACUUCCUGGGGCAAUACUGACACUGAUGUGCGAAAGCGUGGGGAGCAAACAGG
rnacentral:rRNA from 1 species